UACAGAGGUCUCAAGCGUUGUUCGGAUUCAUUGGGCGUAAAGGGUGCGUAGGCGGCGCGGUAAGUCGGGUGUGAAAGCCCUCGGCUCAACCGAGGAAUUGCGCCCAAAAACUACCGUGCUUGAGGAAGAUAGAGGUGAGCGGAACUCAGGGUGGAGCGGUGAAAUGCGUUGAUAUCCUGAGGAACACCGGUGGCGAAAGCGGCUCACUGGAUCUUUUCUGACGCUGAGGCACGAAAGCUAGGGUAGCGAACGGG
rnacentral:rRNA from 1 species